rnacentral:miRNA from 1 species
UCUGUCCCUCUUGGCUGCCAGC